rnacentral:tRNA from 13 species
GCGCGAUUAGCUCAGCGGGAGAGCGCUUCCCUGACACGGAAGAGGUCACUGGUUCAAUCCCAGUAUCGCGCACC